rnacentral:rRNA from 1 species
GGUGGACAGGUGGUGGCAUGGUUGUCGUCAGCUCGUGUCGUGAGAUGUUGGUUAAGUCCCGCAACGAGCGCAACCCCUAUUGUUAGUUGCCAUCAUUCAGUUGGGCACUCUAGCGAGACUGCCGGUAAUAAAACCGGAGGAAGUGGGGAUGACGUCAAAUCAUCAUGCCCCUUAUGACCUGGGCUACACACGUGCUACAAUGGUUGGUACAACGAGUUGCGAGUCGGUGACGGCGAGCUAAUCUCUUAAAGCCAAUCUCAGUUCGGAUUGUAGGCUGCAACUCGCCUACAUGAAGUCGGAAUCGCUAGUAAUCGCGGAUCAGCACGCCGCGGUGAAUACGUUCCCGGGCCUU